UACGUAGGGAGCAAGCGUUGUCCGGAAUCAUUGGGCGUAAAGCGCGCGUAGGCGGCCCGAUAAGUCCGCUGUGAAAGUCAACGGCUCAACUGUUGGAUGCCGGUGGAUACUGUCGCGCUUGAAGGCAGCAGGGGUGAGUGGAAUUCCCGGUGUAGUGGUGAAAUGCGUAGAGAUCGGGAGGAACACCCGUGGCGAAGGCGGCUCACUGGGCUGACCUUGACGCUGAGGCGCGGAGGCGUGGGGAGCGAACAGG
rnacentral:rRNA from 1 species